rnacentral:rRNA from 1 species
AUUGAACGCUGGCGGCAGGCCUAACACAUGCAAGUCGAACGAGUGGCGGACGGGUGAGUAAUGUAUGGGAAACUGCCUGAUGGAGGGGGAUAAAUACUGGAAACGGUAGCUAAUACCGCAUACCAUCGGAUGAGCCCAGAUGGGAUUAGCUAGUAGGUGGGGUAAAGGCUCACCUAGGCGACGAUCCCUAGCUGGUCUGAGAGGAUGACCAGCCACACUGGAACGGAGCCACGGCCCAGACUCCGACGGGAGGCAGCAGUGGGGAAUAUUGCACAAUGGGCGCAAGCCUGAGGCAGCCAGGCCGCGUGUAUGAAGAAGGCCUUCGGGUUGUAAAGUACUUUCAGCGGGGAGGCGUUACCCGCAGAAGAAGCACCGGCUAACUCCGUGCCAGCAGCCGCGGUAAUAC